GAUGAACGCUGGCGGCGUGCUUACACAUGCAAGUCGAACGGGAACCUCUGGAUUCGUCUGGAGGGGAGAGUGGCGAACGGGUGAGUAACACGUAGGUGACCUGCCUCGAAGACGGGGAUAACUGCUGGAAACGGUAGCUAAUACCCGAUGGUCUCGAUAAUUCGGUUUGUCGAGUAAAGGCUCCGGCGCUUUGAGAGGGACCUGCGGCCCAUCAGCUAGUUGGUAGGGUAACGGCCUACCAAGGCGAAGACGGGUAGGGGGCGUGAGAGCGUGACCCCCCACACUGGCACUGGGACACGGGCCAGACUCCUACGGGAGGCAGCAGUGAGGAAUAUUGCGCAAUGAGCGAAAGCUAGACGCAGCAACGCCGCGUGGGUGAUGAAGGCCUUCGGGUCGUAAAACCCUUUUCUGGGGGAAGAGUAAGGACGGUACCCCAGGAAUAAGCCUCGGCUAACUAUGUGCCAGCAGCCGCGGUAAUACAUAGGAGGCAAGCGUUAUCCGGAUUUACUGGGCGUAAAGAGCGUUGAGGCGGCUUCGUAAGUUGGACGUGAAAGCUCCCGGCUUAACUGGGAGAGGCCGUUCAAUACUGCGGGGCUUGAGGACAGCAGAGGGGGGUGGAAUUUCCGGUGUAGUGGUGAAAUGCGUAGAUNUCGGAAGGAACACCAGUGGCGAAGGCGGCCCCCUGGGCUGCUCCUGACGCUGAAGGCGAAAGCUAGGGUAGCGAACGGGAUUAGAAACCCCGGUAGUCCUAGCCGUAAACGAUGGAUACUAGGUGUAGGAGGUUAAAACUCCUUCUGUGCCGGAGCUAACGCGUUAAGUAUCCCGCCUGGGGAGUACGGUCGCAAGGCUAAAACUCCAAGGAAUUUGACGGGGGGCCCGCACAAGCAGCGGAGCGUGUGGUUUACUUCGAUGCAACGCGAAGAACCUUACCAGGGCUUGACCUGUAGGUAGUAGUGAAG
rnacentral:rRNA from 1 species